UCUAUUUGAUGAUAUCGAAAAUAUUAUAGCGAAAUAUUUGUGGCAGAAGGUACAUGGGAAAAGGGGAAUUCAUUGGUGCAAUUGGAAGAAUCUUUGUUUUUUAAAAGAAAAUGGUGGCUUAGGUUUUUGAAAUUUGAGCCAAUUUAAUAUUGCGUUAUUUGCUAAACAAGGAUGGCGUCUGAUUAAUUAUCCUAAUUCAUUACUAGCUAGGGUCUUAAAAGUAAAAUACUAUUCAAAAUCAAGUUUCUUAGAGGCUCAGUUAGGAACUUUACCUUCACUUACCUAGAAGAACAUUUGGGCAGCUAAAGGUUUCCUUCAAAAAGGUUUAUGUUGGUGAAUUAGAACGGGAAAUAAAGUCUCAUUUAGAAUGACUGUUGGAUCCAGGGGAUUGAAUCAUUAGAAAAGCAUAAUAGUUCAGACAAUAUGUAGUUAGAGUUAGUAUUGAAUCUUAUUGAUAAUGCGAAUAGGAAAUGAAGGGUAGAGUUGAUUAGUACUUUCCACUCGGAUGUUGCUCACAUAAUUUUACAGAUCCCAUUAUCAGAAUUAGAUCACGAGGACUUUCAAGUCUGGAAGGGCGAACCGACUGGUGAAUACUCAGUUCGUAGUGCCUAUAAACUAUUACAAAAUGCUAAUCUGGAUCCUAGUAAUUAUUUAUUACAAACCGAAAUUAAGAAAUUUUUUGGAAAGCUAUGGAUCCUACAGCUACCAUCUAAGAUUACAAUCAUAAUCUGGUGCAUCUCUUGGAAUUACAUUCCUACUUUGGGUAAUCUCAGAUGUAGAAGAAUAGUGAAAAAUGCCAGUUGCCCUUGUUGUAGCUACAGGGAAGAAGAUUGUUAUCACAUCUUCAGGCAAUGUCCUAUAAGCACCGAAGUCUGGCAGUUAUUAAAUCUGUCUUGGAUCACAAAUAUCAUGCACCAAAAUUUUUGGGAAUGGCUUACUGCGAUUUUCAAACAAGGAACAAACGAACAGUGAAGAUAUUUUUGUUAUGCCUUACGGUUACUUUCGUACUCAAGGAAUCAGCUUUUGCAUGAAAGGGUACAUUCCACAGGCAAAGACCUCGCACAAAAAAUUGAGAACCACAUGGCAGAAUACGAAGGGAUUAGAGCAAAGAAGAUUUUAUCAAACAUGCUACAUAAUCAAAGAACUGUGGAGGACUUACCGUUUAUGAAGAUUCAGCUUGAUGCUACAUUUGAUAACAAAGAUUUCAGAUCGGCGUCAGGACUGAUAGUCUGGGGUACGAUGAAUGAGGAUUUGGUCUCGAAAUCGAUUCUUCAUAACAAUAUUGCAUCUCCAUUCGCAGCAAAAGUAUAUGCAGGGUUAGAAGCAGUUAAGUUAGGAAUUGAAAUGGGUUUUCGGGAAAUACAAAUAUUGGGUGAUUCACUAACAGUAAUCAAGAAAUGUCAGUCAACAACAACCGAUUAUUCAAUUAUUUGAGUGAUUAUCAGAGACAUCCAAGUAAGAAAUCAUGUUUCCAGAAGCUUGAGUUCAAGCAUAUCCAGAAAAUGAAGAAUACGAGAGCCAAUAAUAUCGCGAAAGAGGUAUUGAAGAGAAGCGAGAGGGCAUACUGGAGAAUGAGAAGACGAUUCAUCACAAUGUUGGUGCAACAUAGCAAUGGUCAAGGAAUCCAGACUAGGAAGACAUAGAGAGGAUUUGGUUUUAAAGCAGAUAGCAAAGAAAUAUAUUCUUGGGUAAUGCUAUCGUCAGACGGAUGGAACAAAUGGGACAGAUAAAAUGAAACGACGAGAAGGAUUAAUGGUUUCCAGCCGUUGGAAGAUUGACUAAAAGUAGAUUAGGUUUCCUUUUUUCAAGGCAUAUUAAUUUUCUGACGAUCCAUUAUUGUUUCUGUUUCUUUUAUUAUUUCUUUAUGUUUUGAUAGUUUCCGUUUCAAAUUGUGGCAGCCCGAUUUGAUAUUUUUGGCUUGUCUUAGCAGGCCUGAAACCUUUGUUUUUUAGUUUAUAAAUACC
rnacentral:lncRNA from 1 species